rnacentral:rRNA from 1 species
CUGGUCCUCAGAUGGGGGCAUGUGCACGCUCUGUUUACACUCCACUCACACCUGUGCACCCUCUGUAGUUCCUAUGGCUUGGGGGCUCUGCUCCCCUGCUGUGGUUCUACGUCUUUACACACACACACCGUAACAAAGUCUCAUGGAAUGUAUGCCGCGUUUAACGCAAUGAAAUACAACUUUCAGCAACGGAUCUCUUGGCUCUCGCAUCGAUGAAGAACGCAGCGAAAUGCGAUAAGUAAUGUGAAUUGCAGAAUUCAGUGAAUCAUCGAAUCUUUGAACGCACCUUGCGCCCUUUGCUAUUCCGAAGGGCAUGCCUGUUUGAGUAUCAUGAGCACCUCAACUCUCAUGGCUUUGCCAUGAUGAGCUUGACUUUGGGGGUCUUUGCUGGUUACGGUGGCUCCUCUCAAUGAAUCAGCUUGCAGUGUUUGCGGCAUCACAGGUGUGAUAACUAUCUGCGCUGUGUUUCUGCUAGAUACCUUCAGUGAUGAGGUCGCUGAGCUCAUAAUGUCUCUCUC